rnacentral:rRNA from 1 species
UACGAAGGGGGCUAGCGUUGUUCGGAUUUACUGGGCGUAAAGCGCACGUAGGCGGAUCGAUCAGUCAGGGGUGAAAUCCCAGAGCUCAACUCUGGAACUGCCUUUGAUACUGUCGAUCUGGAGUAUGGAAGAGGUGGGUGGAAUUCCGAGUGUAGAGGUGAAAUUCGUAGAUAUUCGGAGGAACACCAGUGGCGAAGGCGGCUCACUGGUCCAUUACUGACGCUGAGGUGCGAAAGCGUGGGGAGCAAACAGG